rnacentral:rRNA from 1 species
UACGUAGGGGGCUAGCGUUGUCCGGAUUUAUUGGGCGUAAAGAGCGUGUAGGCGGCCUGGUAGGUCUGCUGUGAAAACUCGAGGCUCAACCUCGAGAUGUCGGCGGAAACCAUCUGGCUAGAGUCCGGAAGAGGCGAGUGGAAUUCCCGGUGUAGCGGUGAAAUGCGCAGAUAUCGGGAGGAACACCAAUGGCGAAGGCAGCUCGCUGGGCCAUAACUGACGCUGAGGAGCGAAAGCGUGGGGAGCGAACGAGGAUUGAGAUAC